rnacentral:rRNA from 1 species
UAAAACCAGCACCUCGAGUGGUCAGGAGGUUUAUUGGGCCUAAAGCAUCCGUAGCNNCNGGUUGCAAUAAGUUUUCGGGUUAAAUCUAUGCGCUUAACGUAUAGGCCGCCGAAAAUACUGUGCAGCUAGGGAGUGGGAGAGGUACACGGUACUCGAUAAGGAAGGGGUAAAAUCCUUUGAUUCUAUNNUGAAGACCCACCUGUGGCGAAAGGGCGGUGUACCAGAACACGUUCGACGGUGAGGGAUGAAAGCUGGGGGAGCAAACCGNGAUUAGAUACCCGGGGUAGUCCCACGCUGUAAACGAUGCAGACUCGGUGAUGCAUGGCUUGUGCCAAUGCAGUGCCGCAGGGAAGCCGUUAAGUCUGCCGCCUGGGAAGUACGUACGCCAAGUUAUGGAAACUUANAAGGAAUUNGGCGGGGGAGC